GGUCUCGUAGUAUAACGGUUAGUACAACGGGUUUUCAUCCCGUCAACGCGGGUUCGACUCCCGCCGAGAUCACCA
rnacentral:tRNA from 1 species